rnacentral:rRNA from 1 species
UCUGACGACCAUAGCAAGUCGGCCCCACCCCUUCCCAUCCCGAACAGGACCGUGAAACGACUCCGCGCCGAUGAUAUUGCACACUACGUGUGAGAAAGUAGGUCAUCGUCAGAC